UGGUGGAGCGAUUUGUCUGGUUA
rnacentral:ncRNA from 2 species